ensembl:lncRNA
AUGUCUGUAUUGUUUAACCUGCAGGAGCUGCUGCCUUUUCUGCUGUUUCCUCAGGUGUUUCCUCGGGUGUUUCCUCGGGUGUUUCUUCAGGUGUUUCCUCGGGUGUUUCUUCAGGUGUCUCCUCAGGUGUCUCCUCAGGUGUUUCUUCAGGUGUUUCCUCAGGUGUUUCUUCAGGUGUUUCCUCGGGUGUUUCCUCAGGUGUUUCCUCAGGUGUUUCUUCAGGUGUUUCCUCAGGUGUUUCUUCAGGUGUUUCCUCAGGUGUUUCCUCAUGUGUUUCCUCUGGUGUUUCUUCAGGUGCAGGAUCUUCAGCUGGUUUUUCAGCAUCUGCAGCUUCAUCAGGAACGGCUGAUUCCUCUGGCGCAAGGUCAUCUGCUGGAGAAUCUGGAUAUGAGAUAAAAGGUAAAUUAGCAACCCACGUUUAUCAUCUUUAUCAUCGGAAUAAAAAAACGACACAGGUGCA